CUUGACGAAGCUGAAUUUUAUUGCACAGCGGGUUUUGAUGUCAAACCCAUAUCUCAUGCUGCUCCUUUUCAAGUUCGUAAACGUUAGUAAUUAACCGAUGGGAAGGCGAUGUUUCAAUGAUUCAAGGUGCCUCCGAAGGCAUUAGCCAUGAAUUUGUGAGCCCAUUUACUCCAUCCCAAAAAAAAAAUUUUGAUUUUGAUUUUUCAUGUGGGUUUGGUCUUGUUUGCAAUUCUACAUUUUUUAUUUUUUUGGAAGAAAUCCAAUGUAUGAGAGGGAUAAAUUCAUUGCACUCUGCAGUUGUAAAUUGUACAUUGUUCUUGGUGCGGCUGAAUUUUUGUGGUGUUCCUGUGUUAAUAUCUGCCUUCAGGAAUUUUAUUGGGCAAGUUUAUCGCUUUCUUCUUGAAUUAUUGACUUCAAUGUUCUUCUAUACCGCUUCUGAUUAUUUGGGAAAGUUUAAAGUUGAUUUCUAAACUAUCCGUUCUACUAGAAAAUCGUGCAAGUUAUACUUGUUCGAGUCUAGGAUUUUUUUGAAGAAAGAAGCAAGUUAUGUAGGAUAAUUUAUUACUUUAAAUCAUCGGAUCUUUCAUGUUAAAUCAUCAAGAAAUACAUAAAUAUGACGGAAGCGUACCUGGAUCAGACAUGAUUGAUGCAAUAAUGAAUUCGCGAUUUUUCGGAAGGUCUUCCAAAAAAUCUACAUGCAACCUUCUUUUUCUCUCUAUGGUGGGAUGCAGAAGAGAAUGAAUAAUACGUACGUGUGAUCUGGGACCAUAACCGUAUUUAUAUAGCAACGCCCUUUGACCUAAUUCGGUCCAUCAUAGAAUUAGGACUUGGGCCCGGUUUCUACACGUAUAGAACCAACACUUUAAUUGGAUACAUUAAAACCCAAAAUGAAAGUCUUAUUAGAUCACUUUAAUUGGGCUCAACCAAAAUCAAUAGCCUUUAAUUAAUACACAACAAUUUACACAUAUAAGCCCACACGAUCGUUUAAAAAUUCUUUCCAAUUUCCCACUUGAGCUGUAUGUGUCGCCUUAUAAUUGUGCAUUAAAUAUAACCUUCUGAGUACUCAGAAUUUUGCUAUCAUUACUGAAUGCAUCCCCAAACAAUCCCGUCCAUCAAUAAUAUCAACAUAGGAUCAAAGUGGCUUUCGCUACUUUCAUGUAGCUAAACCCAUCAAUGAUUACGUAUAUCGAUAUAAUUGAAUGACAUGGAUCAAGCAUGGAAAUUACAUGUGAUGUGAUUUGUAACAUGCCUAUUUCCAACUGGUCCACCUUAAUACCUUAGUGAGAUCAUUUUAAAUAAGUUCAGAGAUAAUAAACCAAAUAACUUUGUAAUCGAAAAUAACUUUAACCUUAAAUUGUAUUCAAAAUAACAGUACAUGUGUCCAAAGUAAAAAACAAACUUCCACUGAAACUAGAUAUCCUCAAGAGACAUUACACCCAUAUGAGCAGUGUGCUCAUGAAAGACCUUGAGUAUCAAUCCCUUAGUAAGCGGAUCCACAACCAUGGAGUUUGUUCCAAUAUGCUCUAUUGACACCUGUCCACUCUGAACUCUUUCUUUAACAGCCAGGAACUUGAUCGCUAUAUGUUUCAACUUUGUCGAGCUCCUGUUGUUAUUGGAAUACUGCAUUGCUGAUUUAUUGUCACAAAAUAUCUUGAACGGUCUUUCUAUAUUGUCCACAAUGCGUAGCCCAGUGACAAAAUUACGCAACCAUAUUCCAUGAUUUGAUGCCUCAUAACACGCUAUAAAUUUAGCUCUAUGAUGGAAGUAGCAAUGAGUGUCUACUUAGCACUCUUCCAGGAAAUAGCACCUUCAGCAAGCAGGUAGAUAUAACCUGAAGUGGAUCUCCUACUAUCUUGGCAUCUCGCGAAAUCGGAAUCAGAAUAACCGACGAUCUCCAACUGAUCUGAUCUUCUGUAUGUGAGCAUGUAGUUCUUUAUUCUCUGUAAAUACCGCAUGACCCGUUUGGCUGCUUUCCAAUGAUCCAUUCCCGGAUAAUUUAAAUAUUUCCCUAGCAUCCCAACAAUGUACGCUAUAUCCAGACGCGUACAAAUCUGAGCAUACAUCAGAUUACCUAUAGCUGAGGAAUAAUGAAUCUUCUGCAUUUCUUUAAUUUCCAAGUCAUUUUUAGGGCACCGACGUAAACUAAACUUGUCUCCUUUAGCCACAAGGGUGUCACCUGGUUUACAAUCUCGCAUGCCAUAUCUUUUAAGUACAUUUUCGAUAUAGCUCUUUUGUGAUAAUCCAAGAAUACCCCGAGAACAAUCUCGGUGUAUUUGAAUUCCCAAUACAAAAGAAGCGUCACCAAAAUCUUUCAUCUCAAAAUUCUUUGCUAGAAAUCUCUUAUUUUCAUGCAAUAAGCCUAUAUCGUUGCUGGCAAGCAGUAUAUCAUCGACAUAUAAAAUCAGAAAAAUAUACUUGCUCCCACUGAAUUUGUGGUAUAUACAAUCAUCGACCAAAAUUCAUCUCAAAACCAAAUGAGAUGAUCACUUGAUGAAACUUGUAAUACCAUUGACGAGACGCCUGUUUGAGUCCCCAGAUAGAUUUCUUUAAUUUACAAACCAUUUGCUUUGCAUCAUUCAAUACAAAGUUUUUUGAUUGUACCAUAUAAAUUGUUUCAUCAAUGUCAUCAUUGAGAAAUGCUGCUGUAAAAUUUUGUUUCGCAAGUGUACGACCCGUAACAAGUAAUAGUGGACCUAAGAGUCUGAUUAUCGAUCCCACAAGGACUAUUUUCUAGUAUUUAAUUUAAUCUUUCUUUAACUACUAUUUGACGAAUACAAAUCAAAGGUUAUAAAAUCUGGGUUUUAAUCUAAAUUCUAGAAAAUAAAUGAAUGUUCACACAAUUGGUUGGAGAAUCAAAUAAUGAAUGGAUGUUAGGGUAGAAUAACUUCACCAAUUGAUCACCUUUACAUCUCAAAUUAAAACUCAAUUCUAAUGUAGCGCUCGGUCGAAUUCUCCUAUUGUAAUCAAUUUACCCUUCUCGAGUUCUCAUUGAGCCUAUUCAACUAAUUAAAUUUCACAUCUCUAUGCAAAUUCAACUUAGUUAAACGAGUUCUAUGUUUUCGGAAUUCAAUUAUGACCGCAAUAAAUGGUAUAGGCAUCUCUACUCGUUAUACAAAUGUAUUGGAUUUUAUUACAUGGUUUAAAUUCUAAACUCAUAUUUCUAUUUGUAAAGAAUUCACAAAAAUCAUCAAAAUUAUUGAUCAAAUAAUUUAAUGCAUUCAAAUCAUAGCAAAAUCAACACAUGGAAGAAUUAAAAAUUGAAAGUCUUAAUAAGAGAAUGUAAAAGAUCCCAAUUGCUUACAAUAUUCCCCUUAAUAAUGAAUUUAGCUACUCAUAAUAUAAGAAGAAAAGAAGAAAUUUGUCUUAGAAUAUAUCACCGAGUUUGAAAUAAAGAUACAGAAGAAAAAGUGGAAUUCUUGCACCAAGAUCUCCUUCUUCUUCCAAUGAAUGCUUCCAAUCUUCAAUUCUUGGUGUUAGUCUUCUUGAAUUUCUCCUUUGAAUUUCCCUUCUUGUUGUUUCCUCUCCAAUAUGUCAAGAACUCUUCAAAAGUAUGAGGAAUAUGUAUUUAUAGGUGCCCCUCCGUUUUAUGUAGAAGUAGGGUUUUUAUGGAUUUAAAAACGGCUCAAAAAAAGUGUCCUAAAUCAUCAAUUGUAGCGCCUAGGCGCUACAAGACAGCGCCUAAGCGCUAGCUAUAGCACCUGGGCACUAUGUCUUCAGCACCUAGGCACUGAUGGUAGAGCCUAGGCGCUAUGGUGCGCCCGGGCGCUAUGGUUUCAGCGCCUAGGCGCUGCCUCUUGAGUCUAAAUUUCAUCUUUUUUUAGUUUCGUAACGCCUAGACGCUAUGAGUGCAGCACCUAAGCGCCGUCUUUCUGCCCCAAUUCCGUGUCUUUAGCCUCUUCAUCCACUUUAAUACUUCUUUUCACAUCGCUUCUCCUUAUCUUCAAAACAACACUAACAAAUACAUCAAAAACAUUCUAUACUCAUAAAAUCUAGCAUUUAAUCAAGCUAAAAUUAUGCUAAAAUCAUGAGUGAAACAAACUCAUCAAAUACCCUCGAACUUCACCAUUUGCUAGUCCUCGAGCAAACACUAAAAUCCAUAAAAAUAAUUAAUGGACACACAAGCACAACCUAGACAAACAAAAUCACUUAAAAUAAAUUUUGCUAGAUAGCUUACCUUCAUGUCUUAGAAUUAAAAACAUAACUUCGAUUCCAUGGACCACUUCAAAGCUAUAAUGCAAAAGUUAAAUUCUUACUUAUUCAAUGCAAAACGGGUGUGUGUGUGGAGAGUCAAGUGCAACACUGUACAAUAAUAAGUUGACCCAAUUCCCGACCUUAGAAGUCAAAUUUUUCCUUACUUUGCUCGUGGGAUUCACAUACCCCCAAACUUAUUUUCUUUUCUCUUUCCAAUGGUGUAACCUAAGGUUAAAUUUUCAAUACUAAUUUCUUACACCACUCAAGUUUGGUUAGAUUUUACUGAUUGUAGUUCCACAUGUCAACAAAUGAGGAUUCUCCUUAUUUUUGACUGCUUCAACCUCUAGAAAUCAACCAAGUUACUAACCCCUUAUCAAAGAUCUAAUCCUCUAAAAUAAGUGUUCGGGGCUUAAUCAAGGCAUUUGAUAUCUAUUUUUUUCUCUUUUUUUUUCAUAUAUAUCUUUAUUCUUUAAUCACUCUUUGUGCGGAUGUCUCUAUCUUAAGCUUUCUAAAUGACCCCUGUAGCGAGUUUUAGGCCGAUGACUCCCAAAUCAGAUGACUUUAGGACACCAGGUUUUAAACCCUUACAUGCUUAAUCACUCGAGUCAUAAAGGCUACGAAGAGAUGAUUCACAAUGAGAUUAUUAAAGUUGUCCUCAUUGGGAUCUUUUUUUUAUACGGUGAUUAGUGCAAUGCCCCUUAUUAAACACCUAUCUUCGAAAAUUGACCUCUAACUUAAGGUUUUCACCCAAUUUUCAUCCCAUUAGUCUCAGACAGUCCACACAAAAAUUAACACACACGAAAUCCACAUUUAUCUCCAAGUUUCCCUACAACAAUGCAAUCAUCCAAACGUCCAAAGUUUGGUUUAAGGGUAUUGUGAUGUUUAAUGGUUGUUUGGGUUUAGCAUCUAAGUUCUUUAUCUCAACCUAUAAACGUGAAUCAACAUACUCAUGCUCAACGCUACAAUCAACUCACGUGCAAAAAAUAAUUUUCGUUUCACAAGAAUAAGCAAAAAUCUAACUCAAACACAUAACUCAUCCACAAUUCAUAAAUCAAAGCAUGUUCUCAGUUACACAUAUCAAUACCGGCAUGGUUAUUUAACACACACAAGCAUGCAAAAACAUGAAACGAAUUUUUUUUUUGAAUAAAAACACAAACACAUAAAACAAGCAAAUCACACAUAAGCAUUCGAGAAACUCAACAACAUAAGCAAAUUUAUUCACACCGCCCAAACUUAACUGAAACAUUGUCCUCAAUGUGAAAUAGAAACAAAAUGGGGAUGGGACUUACCUAACGGACGACGACUAAUCGUCGUCCUCGACAUCGUCAUCCUUGGUAUUCGAAAUAGGAUUGGCAGCGUGAUCAGGUAGGAGACGCAGCUGAGGAAAUGUUCGAUCGGAGUAAAUCGAAGCCAAUACCGCAUUGAACUCAUGUUGAUAAUGGAAUUGCUCGCACAAUGUAUUUUGCAUCAAAUUCAUUUGCAAUUGCAUGCCAUGAAGCUGAGCGGCAAGGGCAGAAGUGGGAUCACUAGCUGGUGUCGGUCGGCGUGAACGGGGUGGCUGGUGGCUCUGAGGAGGGAGUGAAGCACUGGUGGAUUAGGAGCGACGUAAGAACUUCCAAGUACGCGCUCGUGUGAUAGCCGAUUUGGGGUGCACAACUUCCUCAGUCGGAUAUGUGACAACACCGCCCGCUAAGCAAAGCUCAUAAAUCAACGAUGGGUACCCUAGACCACCUGUCGUCGAUCCUCUCAAAGUGUGUAAGAUGUUGUUGUGAAUAACUUUACCAACAUCAAUUGAUAGGCGGCAUUGAAUGUCAUAAUUGAGGGUAGCCCGUUCUUUUGUUACUUCACUUAAGUUGCUACUGGGAAUAAGUUUGCCAAAAAUGAAGUGAUGCCAAGCCUUACAACCCAAAGUCAUACCAGAAGCAGGGAAGUUAAUUACAUCAGUCUCUGAACGUUUCCAUGUAGUACCAGUUGUGGUCAAGACUUGAAUAACCUCAUCAGGAUCAACACCUUCGUCACAAAGUCUAGAGUACUCGUCAUUUUCAAUAUCUUGCAAAUGAUAAAACCUAUUGAUGGAGGUUCUAUCAAACGGUAUCCAUUUACCCCGCCAAACACUCGAAAAUCUCGAUGCACCUUCGCAUUGGAGUAGAACUCCUUAACAACCGGAAUUAGCACCGGUCGUGGUUGCCGAGCAAACAUUUCCCAAUUUCGUCGAUCUAUCUGCUCUGUCAUAUAAUUGUCAAAACCACAUUCAGGGAUACAUGUCUUGUGUACCACCAAGCUAUUAUAACGUUCAGCGGCCUCGGCACUAAUGAAUUUGCUCUUGUCAAAUGAGCUAGAAGAGGAGGCUGCGGCUUUAGAUUUCUUUUUAGGUAGCAUUGGACCUGUGCAAGGGUAGAACAAGCAAACCAUGAGCAAAAACAGUAAUAAAGGAAAAUAAGGCAAGGCUUAAAAUCUAGCCAUAAGAGGGAACUAUGGUCAAACGUGCAAUAGAUGUAUUCUAAACCCAAUUUCAAUUCACGAUCAUCUACAUGGCAAUUCCCACAUAAUUCAAUUAGCACAAUAGCCAAAAUAGCUCCUUUGUACCCAAAUAAGUUCACCUAGACAAUUCAUCAAACACUUUGGGGAGUAAUUCAUGCCACAUUAUUCGCACCACACACAAAUUUCUUGACACUACAACAAAGCAAGCCCUCCUCUUAACAUACUUAUAAAAAAUAGGCACAUAAAAGCAACAACUAUCAUGUAAGAGAGGCAAAAAAUAGGGAGCAAAUACAAUAGCCAUACCUGGAAUGGUGUUGUGGAAACUAAUUGGGAUGGAUGAAUUCACACUUAGCAACAAUGAGAUGUGAAAAACAAUAAGGGAGACUGGGAGGAAGAUAAGAGGGAAGAGGGAGGAGAUGAGAGGGAAAAGGGGGUUGGAGAAUCUCAUAUGUGAGGAGGGAGGGGGGUUGAGGUUAUAAGAAAUAGAAAAGAAAUGAAAAAAAAUAAAAAACAAAAAAAAUUGGGGGAGGGUUAAGUUGUUUCUGUCGAAACGCGGCAGAUGCAGCGCCUGGGCACUGCGUUUCUGCCGAAACAAGCAGUUUGGCGCUACGAAACUCAGCGCCUAGGCGUUGAGUUUCUGCCUGUUUUGUAAUUUUUUUUUACCUCACCCUUUUCACACUCAUUCAUUUUCAUUGUAGAACUCAAAUUCCUUAAUAUGUAACCUUCAUGGAUUCUCCUACAAAAACAAACAAAAGAAAGUGUUACUAUGAUAGCAUAAAUUAUUAAAGGAAGAAAACAAAAUCAAUGCAUAAACCAAUAAUCAAAUAAAGGGUAGAGCUUGGGUUGCCUUCCAAGAAGCGCUUCUUUUAAGUCAUUAGCUGGACGUAGUGCCACAGUUAUUCGGGAACAGCUAGAUCAAGACUCUCUUUAACGGUGGGAAAAUCUUCCACAUAAUGCUUGAUGCAUUGACCUUUUACUUUGAAAUUUCCUUUAGUUGGAUGGUGUAAUUCAACUGUCCCGUAGGGAAACACCUGAGAGACCGUAAAAGGGUCGGACCAUCGAGAUUUCAAUUUUCAUGGCAAAAGUUUAAGCUAGGAAUUGUAUAAUAGCACUUGAUCCCCCACUCAAAAAAUUCGUUGCCUGAUGUUCUUGUCGUGCCAUUUCUUUGUCAUUUCCUUAUAGAUGGAUGCAUUCUCAUAUGCCUCUCUUCUGAAUUCCUCCAACUCAUGUAGUUGUAGUACUCUUGUUUCUCCAGUCUUUUUGAGGUCCAUGUUUAACUGCUUCAAUGCCCAAUAUGCUCUGUGCUCAAAUUCCACUAGUAGGUGGCAUGCUUUCCUAAAGACUAGUCAGUAUGGGGACAUUCCUAUAGGUGUCUUGUAAGCUGUGCGAUAUGCCCAUAAAGCAUCGUGCAAUUUUUUGACCAAUCCUUGCGAGAUGCAUUCACAGUGACCUCCAAAAUUCUUUUCAAUUGUCUGUUUGAUGUUUUCACCUAUCCACUUGUCUGAGGGUGAUAAGGAGUGGCAAUUCGAUGUUGUACUCUGUAUUUAUGCAAAACUGCCUAGAACAACCGAUUGCGGAAGUGCGUUCCACCAUCACUUAUAAUGGCCCUAGGUGAUCCAUAUCGAUUAAACAUGUGUUUCUUUAUGAAGUCCACCACCACCCUUGCGUCAUUUGUAGGCAAUGCUUUAGGUUCUACCCAUUUUGAAACAUAAUCCACCGCAACCAGGAUGUACCGAUUGUUGUAAGAUGAUGGAAACGGACCCAUAAAAUCAACCCCCCAGAUAUCAAAUAUUUCCACUUCCAAAAUGUUGUUAAGUGGCAUCUCGUGACGCGCUGAUACGUUACCUGUUCUUUGACACUUAUCGCAUGACCUACAGAAACUGUGGCAGUCCUUGAACAAUGUAGGCCAAAAGAAACCACAUUGGAGCACCUUUGCUGCUAUUUUAGUGGGGGCCAAAGUUCCCUCCAUAAGCCGAAGCAUGUACUCGUGAAAGGAUCGAUUUCAUUUCAUCCUCAGGCACACAUCUCCUAAUGAUCUGGUCUGCCCCUCUCCUAUACAAAUUUGGAUCAUCCUAUAAUAGAAAUUUCACUUCAUUUGUUGAUAGGUGAGAUCCGGAUCCAUAUAGCCACUGGCUAAGUAAUUAACAAUGUCUGCAUAUUACGUGGCUUUUUCUACCUGCAGUAACUGUUCAUCUGGGAAGACCUCAUUGAUAUUCAUAUCAUCUGAAUCCUGAUGUUUCUCUAUCCUUAACAAGUGAUCCGCUACCUGAUUUUUUGUUCAUAUUUUUCACGAAUCUCGAUGUCAAAUUCUUGUAGUAACAGCACCCAGUGAAUUAGCCUUGGUUUCGCGUCCUUCUUCUCAAACAAAUACUUAGAGCUGCAUGGUCUGUAUAAGCUAUCACCUUGGACCCAAUCAAAUAAGAAUAGAAUUUGUCAAAAGCAAAAACAACCGCAAGCAAUUCCUUUUAAGUUGUUGCAUAGUUGAUUUGAGCAUCAUUCAAUGUUUUGCUAGAAUAGUAGACGACAUUAAAUACUUUUCUGUUGCGUUGUCCAAGCACUGCCCCCACUGCAAAGUCACUAGGCAAUUCCCAAUUUGGAGCCACUAUCACAGGUGCCGAUGUCAAUUUUUCUUUCAAAGUGUUGAAGGCUUUCAAACACUCAACAGAAAAUUCAAAGGGUAUAUCUUUCUCCAGCAGGUUGCACAACGGUUUUGUAAUUUUUUCAAAGUCUUGAAUGAAUCUUCUAUAAAACCUUGCAUGUCCCAGAAAACUCCUGAUCCCCUUUACUGAAUUAGGUGGCUGUAAUUUCUCAAUCACCUGUAUUUUGGCUUUGUCCACUUCAAUCCCCUGUGCAGAAAUUCUAUAUCUCAGUACUAUUCCUUCCUUUACCAUGAAAUGACAUUUUUCCCAAUUAAGCAGAAGACUCUUCUCCUCAAAUCUUUGCAAUAUAAGAGCCAACCGCUCCAAGCAAUCGUCAAAAGAAUCUCCAAACACAGAAAAAUCGUCCAUAAAAACCUCAAUGUACUAUUUACCAUGUCAGAAAAGAUGGCCAUCAUGCAUCGUUGAAAGGUUGGUGGUGCAUUGCAUAAACCAAAAGGCAUUCUUCUAAACGCAAACGUUCCAUAAGGGCAUGUGAAGGCUAUCUUCUCUUGGUCUUCUAGAGCAAUUACUAUCUGAUUGUACCCUGAAUAUCCGUCCAGAAAGCAAUAAUGCGAAUGUCUUGCCAACAUUUCCAACAUCUGAUCAAUGAAUGGCAAUGGAAAAUGGUCUUUUCUGGUUGCAUUAUUUAGCUUUCUAGAAUCUAUGCAUACUCUCCACCCUGUCACUAACUGAGUUGGUAUAAGCUCGUUGUUCUCGUUCUACUCCACUGUGAUUCCACCCUUUUUAGGUACAACAUGUACAGGACUCACCCACGAAUUAUCAGAUAUGGGAUAAAUUAUUCAUGCAUCCAAUAAUUUCAGCACUUCUUUUCGCAUGACUUCUUUCAAGGUUGGAUUCAAUUGGUGUUGUCCUUCCACUGAUGCCCUUGACCCGUCCUCCAUUAGAAUCUUGUGCAUGCAAAGAGUUGGACUGAUCCCUCUUAUAUCUGCUAUUGUCCAUCCAAUUGCCAUUUUGUGUUGCCUGAGUACCUCCAACAAUUUAUUCUUCUCUUCCCUUAGCAUGUCAUUUGCAAUGAUUACUGGUAGUGUUGACGAUUUUCCCAAAUAUGCAUAACGAAGAUGGAAAGGUAAGGGCUUAAGUUCAAGAGUGGGUGCCUUUUCCACUGAGGGUACCGGGGGAGAAGGGUUGUCUCCUAGAGAUUCAUACUGCCAAUGCCUUCUUCCUAUGGGUUGCUCGGCUUAGUUGACAACACAUUCAGCUUUUCCUGCAUUUGUUGCUUCCAAUUGUGCAAGUUCUGCCUCACAAAGAUUUGUGUGAUGCUCUAUAUCAAAUGUAUCCGCCACAAGCUCUUCAAGAACAUCAACUUGGCAGCAAGUGUCGGAAGUCAAUGGGUGUUUCAUUGCUUUGGACACGUUGAAUAUGACUUACUCAUUGUCCACUCGAAGAAUCAUUUUUCCAUCAUACACAUCAAUCAAUGCUCUCCCAGUAGCUAAAAACGGUCUUUCCAAGAUCAGAGAAAUAUUUGAGUCCUCUUCCAUGUCCAAAAUGAUGAAAUCAGCCGGAAAAAUAAAUUUAUCAACUUUAACCAGCAUGUCUUCAAUAAUUCCCUUUGGUCGUUUGAUCAAUCUGUCGGCCAGUUGCAAAGAGAUUGUUGUAGGUUUUGCUUCUCCUAAUCCAAGAGACCUGUAAACAGAGAGAGGCAUCAAAUUAACACUGGCACCUAAAUCACAUAAAGAAUGUUCAAAGAAAUUAGAACCAAUUGUGCAAGGUAUAGUGAAACUCCCUGGGUCUUUUAGUUUUGGAGGUAGCUUUCUCAAUAGUAUUGCACUGCACUCCUCGUUCAAACAUACUGUCUCAUGUUCUUCUAGCUUUCUUUUAUUAGAUAGGAUCUCUUUCAAAAAUUUUGCAUAGCUGGGCAUUUGGGCAAUUGCGUCUGCAAAAGGAAUAUUGAUGUACAGUUUCUUGAAAAUCUUCACAAACUUAGCAAACUGAUUCAACGUCUUUCUUUGUAACCUUUGAGGGAAGGGAAUUGGUGGCACAUAAGCCUUCACGGGGCUAGGUGCUCUUACUGCAGGUGUUUCAUUCCUUUCGUUUUCCUUGUCAGUUGGUUGUUCAAACUCUACUUCUUUCCUAGCCUUUUCACCCAUUAUUUCCUUUUCUUUUCGCUCAGGUCUCUUCACAUGUAUUUCUGGAAGUUGCACCCCACUCCUGGUAGUAAUAGCUUGUACUUUCUCUUUUGGAUUGACCAUUGUGUUGCUUGACAAUGUCCCUUGUGGGCGUUCUGCAAGCUGUUGAGCUAUCUGACCAAUUUGUGUUUCCAACUUCUAGAUUGAUGCUUGCUGAUUCUGAAAAUUAGUGUCAAUCUGCUGAAACACCUUGUCAGUCUUCUGCAUGUACUGGUUGAACAUCUCUUCCAAACUUGGUUUUUUCUCCUGUUGUGCAUUAUUUGAACUGUUCCCUUGUUGAUUAUCCGACCAUCUGAAGUUUGGGUGUUAUCUCCAUCCUAGGUUGUAUGUUUGAGCAAAUGGAUUAAAAUUUCGAGACCCAUUCUGAAUGAAAUUGACCUGCUCGUCGGGAUAGCCUAUAGAUGUGCAGUUUUUUGUCAGAUGAUUAGCCCCCCAGUUCUCGCAUGAUAGACCAGCUAUCACUGCAUGUGCUCAUUUUGUUUGUGAUUUCGCCAAUAACUCCACUUGUUUUGUCAAUGCCACUAUUUGGGCGUUGGUAACUGCUGCGCUGUCUAACUCAUGCAUUUUUCCUGUCUUCGGUGGUGCCACUCUUUUCGAUGAGAACAUGGAAUGUGUAGUAACAAUCAACUCAAACAGUUCCAUGGUUUGCUGCACAGAUUUUCCUAUAAUCGAUCCUCCAGCUGAGGCAUCGACUUGAGAUUUUGAUAAUGGUGUAAGUCCAGUGUAGAAGUACUGCACUUGAUUACCUAUAGUAAUUCCAUGGUUUGGGCAUUUUCUCAUCAACUCAUUAAACCUAUUCCAUGCUUCGUGAUAGCUUUCUCCCUCUUUCUGUUGAAAAGUUUGAAUUUCUAAUCUGAUUUUAGCUACCCUCGCCGGUGGGAAAAAUUUAUUACAGAACUUCCUAAUUAGUUCUUCCCAUGUAAUAAUGCUAGCGUGAGGCUCAGCAUCUAACCACUCCAAUGCAGCAUCUCUCAAUGUAAAUGGGAAUAGUCGUAGUUUAAUAGCAUCUUCAUUCACUCCCGGAGCAUGAAAGUUCUGACAGUUUUUGAGAAAUCUAGAAAUAUGCGUGUUUGGAUUCUCUUGAGGUAGUCCGUAGAAUUGCAGGGUGUUGCUCAUCAAGUUAAUCCAAUCCGGCAUAAUCUGAAAGUUAUUCACCCCAAAAUCUGGAUACAGGAUACUGGAGCACAUGGGUGCUACUAUAGGUGUCAGGAACAUUGAUACUGGCAAAUUCCCUUCAUUUAUUUCCCUUCGUUCAUGUUGUUGUUCCUGUGGUGCUACCACUCUUGCGGCCAUUUGUCCAAUCGGCUGAAUAGGGAUAUGGAUUUGUUGAUUGUCAGCCAUUUGAUGUUGCUAUUUUUGUUUGUGUUCCUUGAGUCUUCGUCUGAAGGUACGUUCUAUCUCCGAAUCAAACGGUUCAAGAUCAUCGCCUUGGGUACGGAGCAUACAACGAACACAAUUUUCUGUAAUUAAAAGAAAAAUAAACAAAUCAAAUAAAAGUCAAAAUAAAAUAAAUAAAUUAAGACUAAAAGAAAUAGUCCCCGGUAAUGGCACCAAAAACUUGUAAAAUUUUGUUUCGCAAGUGUACGACCCAUAACAAGUAAUAGUGGACCUAAGUGUCCAGUUAUCGAUCCCACAAUGACUAUUUUCUAGCACUUAAUUUAAUCUUUCUUUAACUACAAUUUGACGAAUACAAAUCAAAGGUUAUAAAAUCUGGGUUUUAAUCUAAAUUCUAGAAAAUAAAUGAACGUUCACACGAUUGGUUGAAGAAUCAAAUAAUGAAUGGAUGUUAGGGUAGAAUAACUUCACCAAUUGAUUACCUUUACAUCUCAAAUUAAAACUCAAUUCUAAUGUAGCGCUCGGUCGAAUUCUCCUAUUGUAUUCAAUUUACCCCUCUCGAGUUCUCAUUGAACCUAUUCAACUAAUUAAAUUUCAUAUCUCUAUACAAAUUCAACUUAGUUAAACGAGUUCUAUGUUUUCGAAAUUCAAUUAUGAUCGCAAUAAAUGGUAUAGGUAUCUCUACUCGUUAUACCAAUGUAUUGGAUUUUACUACAUGGUCUAAAUCCUAAACUCAUAUCUCUAUUUGUAAAGAAUUCACAAAAAUUAUCAAAUUAUUGAUCGGAUAAUUUAAUGCAUUCAACUCAUAGCAAAAUCAACACAUGGAAGAAUUAAAAACUGAAAGUCUUAAUAAGAAAAUGUAAAAGAUCCCAAUUGGUUACAUUAUUUCCCCUAACGAUGAAUUUAGCUACUCAUAAUACAAGAAGAAAAGAAGGAAUUUGUCUUAGAAUACAUUACCGAGUUUGAAAUAAAGAUGUAGAAGAAAAAAUGGAAUUCUUGCACCAAGAUCUCCUUCCUCUUCCAAUGAAUGCUUCCAAUCUUCAAUUCUUAGUGUUAAUCUUCUUGAAUUUCUCCUUUGAAUUUCUCUUCUUGUUGUUUUCUCUCCAAUAUGUCAAGAACCCUUCAAAAGUAUGAGGAAGAUGUAUUUAUAGGUGCCCCUCCAUUUUAUGUAGAAGUAGGGUUUUUAUUGAUUUAAAAACGGCCCAAAAAACGCGCCCUAGAUCGUCAAUCGCAGCGCCUAGGCACUACAAGACAGUGCCUAAGCGCUAUGGCGCUAUGGUUGUGGCGCCUAGGCGCUGUGGUGGCACCUGGGCGCUAUGGUUUCGGCGCCUAGGCUCUGCCUCUUGGGUCCAAAUUUCAUCUUUUUUCAGUUUUGUAGCGCCUAGGCGCUAUGAGUGCAGCGCCUAAGCGUCGUCUUUCUACCCCAGUUUCGUGUUUUUGGCCUCUUCGUCAACUUUAAUACUUCUUUUCACAUCGCUUCUCCUUAUCUUCAAAACAACACUAACAAAUACAUAAAAAAUGUUCUAUACUCAUAAAAUCUAGCAUUUAAUCAAGCUAAAAUUGUGCGAAAAUCAUGAGUGAAACAAACUCAUCAAACGCUGUCUUAAUAUCCAUCUGAUGUAACUCAAGAUCGAAAUGCACUAUCAAUGCCAUUAUAGUACUGAAAAAGUCUUUUGAAGAAACCGGAGAGAAAGUCUCUUUAUAAUCGAUGCCUUCUUUCUGUGUAAAGCCUUUUGCGACAAGACGAGCCUUUUACUUCUCUACAUCACCUUUCAAAUCCCUCUUAGUCUUAAAUAUCCAUUUGCAAUCAAUGGGUUUCAUACCUUCAGGCAAUGGAAUGAAGUCUCAUACGUCAUUGUCUUUCAUGGACUUUAUCUCUUCAUUCAAGGCAUCGAGCCACUUUUGAGAUUAGACCUUUCCGUGGCUUAACGAAAGUUGAUCGGAUCAUUUUCCACCAUUCCAAUGCCAAUUUUAUGUUCUUGGAGAAAUACGAUGUAAUCAUCCAAAAUCGCACUUUUCUUCUCUCUAAUGGAUCUUCUUAAUGACAUUGGUUUUUGAGGCUGUAGAGUUCGUUCUUUUGAAAUAAUUUGUUGAUCUUGAGAGGGAGAUAUGACAUUGUCUUGAUCCGGAGUUGCUUCUUGAACAAUGUCAGGAAUAGAAACCUAAUUAUUGUCAAUGGCAAUUGGAGGAAUUUCAACAUAUUCCUCCUCAAAGACAAAGCCUGUAACCCUUUCUCCCCCCGAAAACUCAACAUCAUCAAUGAAUCGAGCAUUUCCUGUCUCGAAAAUUCCCUUAGUUGUAGGAUCAUAAAACUUGUAACCCGUGGACCUUUCAGAAUAUCCAAUAAAAUAGCAACUGAUGGUCCUUGCAUCCAAUUUCUUUUCAUUUGGCUUAUAGGGCCUUGCCUCAGCUGGACACCCCCAAAUAUGUAUAUGUUUCAAACUAGGCUUCUUGCCCAUCCAAAGCUCAUAUGGGGUUUUAUCAGUGACCUUAGUUGGAACUUUGUUAAGUAUAUAUGUAGCAGUCUUUAAUGCUUUACCCCAGAGAGAUUUUGAUAAGGUAGAAUGACUAAUCAUACUCCUCACCAUGUUCUUAAGCGUUCUAUUUCGUCUUUUAGUAACACCAUUCAUAGCGGGCGAACCUAGCAUAGUGCACUGUGGGACGAUGCUGCAUUCGUCUAGGAAUUUAGCAAAUAGUCCUGAACGUUGUUCACUUGAACCAUCAUAUCUGUCAUAGUAUUCACCCCACGGUCAGAUCUGACGCUUUUAAUCCUUUUGUCGAGUUGGUUCUCAACUUUGACUUUAUAGUUUUUGAACACAUCCAGUGACUGUGAUUUUUCAUAAAUGACAUAUACGUAGCCAUAUCUAGAAAAGUCAUCUAUGAACGUUAUAAAAUAUUGUUGACCAUUCCAAGAACCCGUAGGGAAUGGUCCACAAAUAUCCGUAUGUAUAAGUUUUAAGACGUUCGAAGUCCUAUUGGCUUGAAAUCUCCUUUUAUUGGUUUGUUUUUCUUUUAUACAGUUGACACACAAAUCAUAAUCUAUGAAGUCAAGGGGGUCGAGAAUCUCGUCAGACACAAGUCUCUCAAUUCUCCUUUUGGAGAUGUGACCUAAUCUCUUGUGCCACAACGAGACAGAAUCCUCACAGAUUAAUUUUUCGCUUUACACUUCAAGUACUUACAUGCAAGGAUUCAUUAGAAGAAGCAAUUGUAUCAAUUGAAUAAAGACUAUCAUAAUCUGAUAAAGAACCGGAAUCAACCAAUUUUGAAUCAUGAAACAAACCAAAAUUUCCAUUUCCAAAUGAACAAAAAUAACCAAAUUUGUCAAAAACAGAAUUUUAUCUAAAAGACGGUACAAUAAAGGUCUCAAUAAGAUCCAAAUAAAAUUCAGUCUUUAACAAUAAUCUAAAUUUUCCUAUUGUCUCUACUUCCACCUUCUUGCCGUCACUAGCAUAGAUGUAUCUUUCACCAUUACUUUGUUUUCGGCAACUCAGACAACUCUGCAUAGAAUACUAAUGUGAGUUGUUGCAUCAAAAUCUAUCCACCAUGUUUCUCUAGGUACCGAAGUUAAAUUAACCUCAGAACAAACCAAAUGAAGAAGAAUACAUUUCUUUACACACCAUGCGUGGUAAUUGGUGCAAUUAUUGUUCUUAUGACCUACAGCUCCACAGAAGAAACAACCACCUUCAGUCGGUUCCUUAUGCUAUUUCUUUUGUGGUGCUGUACUCGCAGCUUCCUUAUUAAUCUUCAUUUUCUUGUUCCUUUUGUUCUUAGAGGUGAUGGCUAAAUGAGCACUUUCUGUCUUCUCAUACUUCAAUCUUUCCUCUUCCUGGAUACAGUGUGAGAUGAGCUCAUUAAGGGACCAUGAGUCCUUUUGAUAGUUGUAGCUCACCUUGAAUUGAUUGAAAUGUACCGAAAGGGAUAUCAGAACCAAGUACACUAACAAGUCUUCGGAUAAAUCCAACUUGAGUGCCUUUAGUUUUGAAACAAUGUGAGACAUUUCCAUAAUGUACUCCCAAAUGUUUCCUUUCACUUUAUACCUCAUCGAGACAAGGUUUGCCAAAAGUGUACUUGUUUCAGCCUUUUUAUUCUUGGCAAACCGCUUCUCUAGAUCUUCAAGGAAACCCUUAGUUGUAGUCAUCUUAUUUGACAUAGCACGCUUCAUGACCAUUAAGUUUAUGCGGUUUGAUCAUUCCCACUUUUCCAUCUUUCUCUUGUCAUCAGAGGUACUCUUAUCAGUAAGUGCAGCAGGUUGAUCGACCUGUAAAGAAAAGUCCAGGUCCAUGACUCUGAGAACAACCUGAAGUUUGUGCCAUUUAGCAUUGUAAUUGAAUUGAUACUAGCAGAGAUAUUAGCAGCAGAACCUAAAACUGAAUUAGAGAAUGAUUAUUAUGAAUAGUUCACAUGAAUACGUUUAAUAUGCAAAUAAUAAUAAUCUCAAAUAGUGGUAGGGCCCAUCAUAAGAUACUUAGCACAACAUCAAUAUCUAGUCUUUGGACAUAGAUAUUGACUUGUAAGCGGUAUUCUUGGCGUACUGAUCAAACAUUGAUAAUAAAACAAUGUAUCAAUCAAUAAAUCUUUUUUGGACCGAUUUAUCGAUCACACAUUAAACCAAAUAAUCGUCACUCGUUUAUCACCACAGGUGUACGUGUAUUCGGCUAAAUAUUGACCUUCCUUUGGGCCGAUCAAUAUUCUCAUGAAUAACAAAUACACAAAUACCUUUUAAUAUUCUAAGUUAAUUAAUUUCCACAAAAGAGGUUGUUUUGGCAACAUGUUGCUUCAAUUAACUAGCUUUCGAACAUUAUAUCUCUUAAAAGAGUCUUUAGUACAAAAAUUUGAGAAAGAGAAUUACCAAUUUUGCAUAUUUUAUUUAGUUUUAUACUUUAGGGGCCUUAGGAUUAAUAAUUCAAAACUUUAAGGGGCAAAAUUAAUUAAUUCCAAGCUUUAGGGUUUGAAAUUAAUAAACUUGAAACUCUAGGGACCAAAAUUUAUUAAUUCAAGACUUUAGAGGAUCAAUUAGAACAAAUUUGAAACUUUAGGGGCCAAAAAUUGACCAAUUCAAAACUUUAGGGAUCAAAAUUUGAAAUUUUAAAACUCUGAGGGUCAAUUUGAGUUAAUUAUAAACUUUGGGGGCCAAUUAGAAUUAAUAAUUAAAGUUUGAGGGCUUUAAUUAUAAAAUUCAAAAUUUUAAUGGCCCGAAUUAAUUAAUUUUUAAACCUUAAGGACUAAAUUAUUAAAUCCAAAACUUAAAGGUCCAAAUCUUAAUAUAACUUCAAUGUUAGGGACUGAAACCUUAAUUUUACAACCCUAACCUAAUUGCAAACAGGGGCCUCAAGUUAUCCAAUUUACAUGUGAGGCCCCCGCCCCGAAAUCAACCAAAAUCUGAAAACCUAAAAAAAAAUUUCUUUCCUCUUCUCUCUCUCGCGAUGCCAGCGGCUAGCACCGCACCAGCAGCAGCCCAGCGCUUCUACGACACGCUGCUGUGAUACCGGCGACACACCCGCCACUGCCCAGAUCUUGUUAAAUUUUUUUUAUUAUAUAAAUCCCCAAAGAAUCUGAAUCUAGAACCAAAAAACCAUAAUCUGAAUUCUUCUCAAUUAUUAAUCCAAAUUAUGAAAAUAACGAAAAAUUAUAUCGCAAAAGUUUUCAAAUUCAACAAAAUAUAGAUCCAAAAUUGUUAAAUGUGAAAACUUCAAAAAAUGUAUUGCAAGAACCAAAUAAAUUAUUCGAUUUUCAAUGAUUCAACAUGAAAAUACUCUGAUACCACUUGUAGGAUAAUUUAUUACUUUAAAUCACUGGAUCUUUCAUGUUAAAUCAUCAAGAAAUACAUAAAUAUGGCGAAAGCAUACCUGAAUCAGAUAUGGUUAAUGUAAUAAUGAAUUCGCGAUUUUUUGUCUUCUAAAUCUACACGCAGCCUCCUUUUUCUCUCCGUGAUGGGAUGUAGAAGAGAAUAAAUAAUACGUACGUAUGAUCUGGAGACCAUAACCGUAUUGAUAUAGCGACGCCCUUUGACCUAAUUCGGCCCAUCAUAGAAUUAGGACUUGGGGCCGAUUUCUACACAUACAGAACUCACACUUUAAUUGGAUACAUUAAAGCCCAAAAAUCGAAGUCUUAUUAGAUCACUUUAACUGGACUCAACAGAAUUCAAUAGCCUUUAAUUAAUAUACAACAAUUUACACAUAUAAGCCCACACGAUUGUUUAAAAAUUCCUUACAAAUUAUUCCUCCCCAUUAGUUGUCAUCUCUUGUCCUUGUCGUUUAGACCGAAUCGAUGGGCUUAUAUGUGUGAAUAAUUGUGUGUUAAAUUAAAGGUUAUCAAAUUCGGUUAAACCCAGUUAAAAGUGAUCUAAUAAGGCUUCGAUUUUGGAUCAUUAUGCAUCCAAUUAAAGUGUGAGUUUAUAAGUGUGUAGAGAUCGGUUUCAAGUCCCUAAUUCUAUGAUAGGUCGAAUUAGGUCAAAGGGCAUUGCUAUAUAAAUACGGUUAUAAUCCCUAGAUCACAUUUACAUAUUGUUCAUUCUCUUCUGCAUCUCAUCACAGAAAAAAGAGAGACUGCAUGUAGAUUUGGAACACUAAAUCGUGAAAUUUAAUCAUUGCAUUAAUCAUGUCUGAUUCAAGUACGCUUCCACUAUAAUUCAUGUAUUUCUUGAUGAUCCAACAUGAAGAUCCGAUGAUUUAAAGUAAUAAAUUAUCAUACAAGUAGUAUCAGAGAUUUUUCAUGUUGAAUCAUUGAGAAUCAAAUAAUUUAUUUAGUUCUUGCAAUAUUUUUUGAAGUUUUCAGAUAUAACAAGGUAGAAGGAAGAGAAAUUUUUUUUUUUAGAGUUUUCAAUUUUUUGGUAAUUUGGGGCGGGGACUUCAUGUAUAAAUUAGAAUAUUUGAGGCCCCUAGCUACAAUUAGGGUUAGGAUUAUCAAAUUAGGGUUUCAGUCCCUAACAUUUUAAAGUACAUCCAAUUUGGGCCUUUAAGUUUUGGAUUUAAUAAUUCAGUCCCUAAUGUUUAAAAAUUAAUUAAUUCGGGUCAUUAAAGUUCUGAAUUUUAUAAUUAAAGCCCUCAAACUGUAAUUAUUAAUUCAAAUUGGCCCCCAAAGUUUAUAAUUAAUUCAAAUUGACUCUCAAAGUCUCAAAUUUUCAAAAUUUGAUCCUUUAAGUUUCGAAUUGGUCAAUUUUUUGCCUCUAAAGUUUUAAAUUUGUUUUAAUUGAUCCUCUAAAGUUUUGAAUUAAUUAAUUUUGGUCCCCUAAAAUUUCAAAUUUAUUAAUUUCAACUCCUAAAGUUUGGAAUUAAUUAAUUUUGUCCCUUUAAAGUUUUGAAUUAUUAAUCCUAAGGCCCCUAAAGUUUAAAACUAAACAAAAUACGCAAAGUUGGUGAUUUUCUUUCUCAAAUUUUGGUACUAAGGAUUCCUUUAAGAGAUAUAAUGUUCGAAAGUUAGAUAAUUGAAACAUGUUGUCAAAGCAACUUCUCUUGUGGAAAUUAAUUAACUUAGAAUAUUAAAAAAUGUUUGUGCAUGUGUUAUUCAUGGGUAUAUUAAUCGGCCUAAAGGAAGGCCAAUAUUUAGCCGAAUACAUGUGUACCUGUGAUGAUAAACAUGUGACAAUUAUUUGGUUUAAUGUGUGAUCAAUAAAUCGGUCCAAAAAAAGGUUUAUUGAUUGACACAUUGUUUUAUCGUUAAUGUUUGAUCACUACACCAAGAGUACCACUUACAAGUCAAUAUUUCUAUCCAAAAACUAGAUAUUGAUGUUGUGUUGGUAUCUUGUGAUGGACCCUACCACUAUUUUAGAUUAUUAUUAUUAUUAUUAUUUACACAUUAAAGAUAUUCAUAUGAGCUAUUCGUAAUAAUCGUUCUCUAAUUCUGUUUCAGGUAACGCUGCUAAUAUUUCUACUAGCAUCAAUUCAAUUCCAAUGCUAAAUGGCACAAAUUUUAGGGCAUGGCAAGAGAAAGUGAUUAUUGUUCUCGGAGUCAUGGACCUGAACCUUGCUUUACGGAUCGAUCAACCUGCUGCACUUACUGAUUAGAGUACCUCUAAUGACAAAAGGGAGAUGGAAAAGUGGGAACGAUCGAACCGCAUAAGCUUAAUGGUCAUGAAGCAUGCUAUUCUAGAAGCAUUUUGGGGCACUAUGUCCGAUAAGGUGAAUAAGGCUAAGGGUUUCCUUGAGGAUCUUGAGAAGAGGUUUGCCAAGAAUGAAAAUACUGAAACAAGUAUACUUUUGGCAAACCUUGUCUCAGGUAUAAAGGGAAAUGAAACAUUCGGGAGUACAUUAUGGAAAUGCCUCACGUUGCUUCAAAACUAAAGGCACUCAAGUUGGAUUUAUCUGAAGAAUUGUUGGUGCACUUAGUUCUGAUAUUCCUUUCAGCACAUUUCAAUCAAUUCAAGGUGAGCUACAACUGUUAAAAGGACUCAUGGUCCCUUAAUGAGUUCAUCUCACAUUGUGUUCAAGAAGAGAAAAGAUUGAAGCAUGAGAAGACAGAAAGUGCUCAUUUAGUCACCACCUCCAAGGACAAAAGGAAUAAAAAAAGGAAGAUUAAUAAGGAAACUGCAGGUACAGCAUCGCAAAAAAAAAACAGUAUAAGGAACCAACUAAAAGUGGUUGUUUCUUCUGUGGAGCUGCAGGUCAUAAGAAGAAGAAUUGCACCAAUUACCAUGCAUGGCGUGUAAAGAAAGGUAUUCUU
rnacentral:lncRNA from 1 species